UUGUCUUAAAUUCUUAAUUUCUGAGAUAUGGUAGCUCAAACAUCGCUUACCGCAACAGUUUACAUGAGGUCCUGUUCUUCAGGAAGAUGUCAGAGUCUUUUAAACUGUAGAUUCUUACUAUCAAAAAACUGAAGCUUUUUACCAGUAACUGUCCAUUGUGUGUAACUAUGAAGUAGGCGGUGCUUAAUUUGAGCCACACCUUUAAUUGCUGCAGCAAAGCAAUGCAAGGCUGAGCAAGCUAACACGUACAGUAACAUAUCCCAGAAAUCACAUGACUGUAGAACCCUGAAUUGUAAUAAAUGUAAUGUGCGCCUAGACUUAAUUAUUGGUUGUAUGUCUUGUCUGUAAUAGAUCCCUUCUUAAUAAUUUGUGUUAAUGUGAAACUAUUUCAUAAUUUGUGUCAUAGUAUAUAAAUGUUUGAUUCUGUUGUUUUGGUUGAUCUUUUGAUUGUUAAUAAUCGUAUCUACAAGAGUAA